rnacentral:rRNA from 1 species
UACGUAGGGGGCAAGCGUUGUCCGGAUUUAUUGGGCGUAAAGAGCGUGUAGGCGGCCUGACAGGUCUGCUGUGAAAACUCGAGGCUCAACCUCGAGAUGUCGGCGGAAACCGUCUGGCUAGAGUCCGGAAGAGGAGAGUGGAAUUCCUGGUGUAGCGGUGAAAUGCGCAGAUAUCAGGAGGAACACCGAUGGCGAAGGCAGCUCGCUGGGACGGUACUGACGCUGAGGCGCGAAAGCGUGGGGAGCAAACAGG